GACGAACGCUGGCGGCGUGCCUAACACAUGCAAGUCGAACGGAGUUAAGAGAGCUUGCUUUCUUGACUUAGUGGCGAACGGGUGAGUAACGCGUGAGGAAUCUGCCUUUCAGUGGGGGACAACAGUUGGAAACGACUGCUAAUACCGCAUAAGCCCACAGGUCGGCAUCGACCAGAGGGAAAAGGAGCAAUCCGCUUUGAGAUGGCCUCGCGUCCGAUUAGCUAGUUGGUGAGGUAACGGCCCACCAAGGCGAUGAUAGGUAGGGGUUCUGAGAGGAAGGUCCCCCACAUUGGAACUGAGACACGGUCCAA
rnacentral:rRNA from 1 species